GCAGGGGUAGGCUGGGGUGGUGAACUGACACGCGCAAAGGUGCUGGUGGGCAGAGGGAAGGUGUCAAGGGGGUGGUGUGCCCCCUGCCAUCUGCAAUCGUGUACUUAAAGGGAGGAGGACUGGGGGACCACCUCCCCGCAGGCUCCAGUCCUGUUUUCUGUCUGCAGCGUGAGAGAACUUGGUUGCCUGGGUAUCCGGAAGGCUGGGUGAGGGUCACAUGAGGGGCUCUCCGCAGCAGGGGGUCUGUUCAUAACUCUGGGCUCCAGCUGUGGAAUUCUGAGUGUCACACCUCACCUGGCUGAGUCUCCACUGCCUCCUAGGCGCAUUCCAACAAUUUGGGCUCUCACUGCUUGAGCAAACCCUGGUGUGCAUUUGGCCUCAGGGCCUGGAAGACGACAGUUCAAGAAACCACAGGACUCCAGCAAUGAGCUGCUCCCCUUGCUGUGUGUGUGUGUGUGUGUGUGUGUGUGUGUGUGUGUAGGGUGAGGGAUGGCAAGUAGGAAAGGAAUUCCAGGAAGAAUAAAGUGCAUGUGCAAAGGCCCUGGGGCAGGAGGAGCCUUGGCUGCUGGAGGAAGCAUAAGAAAGCUGAGGUGUCGGCUGGGCACAGUGGCUCAUGCCUGUAAUCCCAGCAGUUUGGGG
rnacentral:lncRNA from 1 species